rnacentral:tRNA from 1 species
AUGGUCAUGUCAGAUAAAGUGAGUUAUGUUGAUGUCAUAAAGUAUACCCUUUUGGGUUGGCCAUG